UGAAUACGAGACGCUAAGGCGUCGAAGUAGUGUAUGUCAUACUUCCAAGAAAAGCUUGCACUGUCAUAGAUAAAAAACGCCUGUACCAUAACCGACACAGGUGGGUAGGUAGAGUAUACUAAGGGGCGCGAGAUAACUCUCUCUAAGGAACUCGGCAAAAUAACUCCGUAACUUCGGGAGAAGGAGUGCCUUAUUCUUAAGGUUGCAAUAACAAGAUCCAAGCAACUGUUUAUCAAAAACACAGGUCUCCGCUAAGUCGUAAGACGAUGUAUGGGGGCUGACGCCUGCCCAGUGCCAGAAGGUUAAAGAAGCUGGUUAGCAUUUGCGAAGCUAGUAACUGAAGCCCUGGUGAACGGCGGCCGUAACAAUAACGGUCCUAAGGUAGCGAAAUUCCUUGUCGGGUAAGUUCCGACCCGCACGAAAGGCGUAAUGAUUUGGAUACUGUCUCGGAGAGGGGCUCGGUGAAAUAGACUUGUCUGUGAAGAUGCGGACUACCUGCACCAGGACAGAAAGACCCUAUGAAGCUUUACUGUAACUUGAAAUUGAAAUUGGACUUUAUUCGCGCAGUAUAGGUGGGAGGCGUUGAUUAUAAUCUUGCGGGAUUAUUGGAGCCAUUAGUGAGAUACCACUCUUGUAAUGUUAGAUUUCUAACUUUGAAUCAUUAUCUGGUCAAAGAACAGUUUCAGGCGGGCAGUUUGACUGGGGCGGUCGCCUCCCAAACGGUAACGGAGGCGUACAAAGGUUUCCUCUGAACGGUUAGAAAUCGUAUCUAGAGUGUAAAGGCAUAAGGAAGCUUGACUGUGAGACCUACAAGUCGAGCAGGGACGAAAGUCGGUCUUAGUGAUCUGACGGUACUGAGUGGAAAGGCCGUCACUCAACGGAUAAAAGUUACUCUAGGAUAACAGGCUGAUCUCCCCCAAGAGUUCACAUCGACGGGGAGGUUUGGCACCUCGAUGUCGGCUCAUCGCAUCCUGGGGCGGUAGUACGUCCCAAGGGUUGGGCUGUUCGCCCAUGAAAGCGGUACGCGAGCUGGGUUCAGAACGUCGUGAGACAGUUCGGUCCAUAUCCGGUGUAGGCGUUAGAAUAUUGAGAGGAGCCUUCUUUAGUACGAGAGGACCGAGAAGGACAUACCUCUGGUGUACCAGUUAUCGUGCCAACGGUAGACGCUGGGUAGCUAUGUAUGGAGUGGAUAACCGCUGAAAGCAUCUAAGUGGGAAGCCCACCUCAAGAUAAGUAUUCUCAUC
rnacentral:rRNA from 1 species